AUGUUUCAACAUUAAAUUUUAUCACUAAAAGAGUCUUCCUCUUCCUCCUCCUCCUCCAAACAAAACCUGAUAUUCCUCCUUCUUCUUUCUGCUUACAAACAUAUGAAGCUGGGUGGAGCCAACAUCUGCUGAAAGUGGAAGCUGAUUGGCUGCUGCCACUCUACACUGACAGAUGGGCCAGGGGCCGAUGCUGAGAACAUCUGAGAGCAUUCAGUGCAAACUGUUGGAGAGCAGCCUGGAAACCCGGGCAGGGAAGUCUGAGGGCUUGGAGAGCAGAUUGGAGCUUUCACCUGUGAGUUCAUGCUCUGGGAACCUGCAUGUGGCUUGGAUCCGCCUUCGCAGCGUGGCAGUGGUCUGGAAUGCUGCGACUGAAGCAACCUGGGGGGUUACUCACUUCCAGGUUUGGUUGACCACUUGGUGGCGCUGCUUGCCAGCCUUUAAAAUAAAAAUCUGACAGUCUGUAACAAAGGUGCCAAUAACUGGGUGAAAUCAGACCCUACCUCUGGGAGUUACACCUACUUCCUGUUUAGUGGCGAAGGUGUGAAGAGAGGAUGAUGACACAAAACAAACAACUUCCUGUUAGGUUCCGAUAAUCGUAUAGGGGUUAAAUUAAACUUUGAAAAUUAAAAAAAAAUUGGCUUAGAUAAUUAAUAUUUCAGUUUAGAUACGUCUAAUAAGGCUCUUGACAUAAUUUUCACACCAGAUGCUGGACUCGUCACACCGGUCUCAUUUAACAGAUUUUCUUCCAGGAUUAUCCUGUAUUUAGUUCCAUCCAUCUUCCCAUCAACUCUGACCCAAAUCCAAGGCCAUGUUGAAGAAACAUCUCCAUAACAUGAUACAGCCACCACCAUGUUUUACCUUAGGGAUGAUAUGCUUAAGGCAGUGGUCUCAAACUCCAGUCCUCAACAGCCGGUGUCCAGCAACGUAGAUGUCCGUUUCAGCACACCUGACUCCAAUAUUAGCUCAGAGCUCUGUAGAGCUUUACUGCAUGCUGGUGAGGGAGCUUCACCAUUUCUUUAGAACAAGGCACAUAUCUAAAAGUUGCAGGACUCCGGCCCUUCAGGAACGUCCACUGCUUUACAGUGACGUACAGCUCUGGUUAUCUACCAAACCAUCUCCUUCCAGAUGCUUGGAGUGUCCUCUGUAUGAAUUGUCAUAGACUGCAAAUGAGAGUCUUAGGCCCCAAAUGCAAUUGUUUUCAUCUCGCUCCUGUUCCAUGAAGACCAGAUUAGUGUGAAGUACACAAUUGAUUCUCCCACUUGAGUUGUGGAUUAUUGCAGUUCCUAAAGUUGCCACAGGCCUUUCAGCUUCCUAAUCAUUCAGCUAAAUCCUUUCGUAUUCCUUCAAACAUAGUGGCCUUUGUGAGGGGAGUAGCAGUCCUCAGAGGAGCUUACUAUUGAAAGUGAAUUACCCAAGUAAGCUGGUGUAGUUAUAAUCAUAGCCACAAGGAGGAGACAAAGGCCCAGCAGUCCUCGUCAGGCGUCAGCUGGCUCUGCGUGAUCAGCCGUCUCCAUGUUUCUGCUUUGUGCUGCUCACUGUAAGAGGACUGUGUGCAGUCAGAGGCACCGGAAACAGAUCAACUACCAAGUAUUGGCAACUCAAAUUUGAUAUCGCUGUGAUAAAGUGAAACAAUCUACAGCUGGUUUAAAAUUAGCUAGAGGAGGGGAAGACUGAGCCUGUAGAACCCAGACCCUGAGGAAACCAUUGCUGGAUGUUGCAAGAUGAGCAACAUGACUUCUUACUUCAAGUUUUGAAAGAUUGUUUCAAUAUUAAUUCCACCGACUUGAAAGUUGUAGGCCGUUUAUCAACCAGAUUUAAUUUGAGUUACCAAAUUUAAAUCUGGCAUCUUAAACUGAUUCUGGACAGAAUCAAAGGAUGGAAGGAGAUUUUGACACCUAAAUUGAGGGUAAAAUUCUAAUCAUCCAUUCCAGUUUUGAGUUUUCUUGAAUCAUAGCAACAAUUGUGGGGCCACAGUUGUCUUUAAAAACAUUGUUUUAUAAGACAACUGUCACAUCAGAUAUCUUCCCCAUAACUGAGAACAUUAUUUUCCUCUAUUAAACACUCCAUCCUUUUUUAAAAUUAUUUUUUAGCAUUCACUAUAAGCAUCAUGUUACAGAAUGGCAUUACCAUUUUAUUCAGUUUGUCUAUGUUAACAUCUGUCCAUAUCAAAUAACCCUAAAUCAGUUGAAUUCAACUAAAUCAGACCAGAAUUUUCUGAAAGACAAAAUUUGGAGAAUUAUCCAUAUGAAAAACAGAAACGUACUCAAAAACUGUAAUAGAUCUAUGAGUUUGUGGCUCAUAGACAAAGAAUUAAAAAGUGUAAUCGAACCCAAACGGGAAAAAGUUUUGGCCACACCACCACCUAACAGGGUGGAAGCAGUUUAUACUUAAUAAGAAACAACACAGACUGCAUUGAUAUCAAACUUCAUCUCUUUAUUUCUCUAUUGGUUGGUUCUCAUCACAAACAAUGUUGAAAAUCCAGAACAGGAUGUGUAUAAACUGUACAUGGAGCAAGGCACUGUCCACUGAA